UACGGGGGAGCAAGCGUUGUUCGGAUUUACUGGGCGUAAAGGGCGCGUAGGCGGUCAGUGCAAGUCAGUUGUGAAAUCUCCGGGCUUAACUCGGAAAGGUCAACUGAUACUGCUCGACUAGAGUGCGGAAGGGGCAACUGGAAUUCUUGGUGUAGCGGUGAAAUGCGUAGAUAUCAAGAGGAACACCUGCGGCGAAGGCGGGUUGCUGGGCCGACACUGACGCUGAAGCGCGAAAGCGUGGGGAGCAAACAGG
rnacentral:rRNA from 1 species